GGGGACGUAGCGUAGUGGUAACGCAGCUACCUAUCAAGUAGUGAUCGCGGGUUCGAUUCCCGCCGUCUCCA
rnacentral:tRNA from 2 species